UACGGGGGGGGGCAAGCGUUUGUUCGGAAUUACUGGGCGUAAAGCGUGCGCAGGCGGUUCUAUAAGACAGAUGUGAAAUCCCCGGGCUCAACCUGGGAACUGCAUUUGUGACUGUAGAGCUGGAGUGCGGCAGAGGGGGAUGGAAUUCCGCGUGUAGCAGUGAAAUGCGUAGAUAUGCGGAGGAACACCGAUGGCGAAGGCAAUCCCCCUGGGCCUGCACUGACGCUCAUGCACGAAAGCGUGGGGAGCAAACAGG
rnacentral:rRNA from 1 species